rnacentral:rRNA from 1 species
UUGCUUUUCUGAUGACGACCGGCGCACGGGUGAGUAACGCGUAUACAACCUACCUUUUAGCGGGGAAUAGCCCAGGGAAACUUGGAUUAAUGUCCCAUAGUAUGGAGGUCUCUCCUGAGAUCAUCAUUAAACAUUUAUGGCUAUUAGAUGGGUAUGCGUCCUAUUAGUUAGUUGGUAAGGUAACGGCUUACCAAGGCAGCGAUAGGUAGGGGUCCUGAGAGGGAGAUCCCCCACACUGGUACUGAGACACGGACCAGACUCCUACGGGAGGCAGCAGUGAGGAAUAUUGGACAAUGGGCGAGAGCCUGAUCCAGCCAUGCCGCGUGCAGGAAGACUGCCCUAUGGGUUGUAAACUGCUUUUACAGAGGAAGAACCACUCCCACGUGUGGGAGUUUGACGGUACUCUGCGAAUAAGGAUCGGCUAACUCCGUGCCAGCAGCCGCGGUAAUACGGAGGAUCCGAGCGUUAUCCGGAAUCAUUGGGUUUAAAGGGUCCGUAG